rnacentral:snoRNA from 1 species
UGAGAUGAUGAAUUCAGCCUUGUCUGAGCGGUGAUGACGCCACUGGCUCUGAUCG